UUUUUUUUUUUUUUUUUCCUUUUUAGGGCCAUAUCUGUGGCCUAUGGAAGUUCCCAGGCUAGAGGUCAAAGUGGAACCACAGCUACCAGCCUACACCACAACCAGAGCAGCACUGGAUCUGAACCGAGUCUGUGACUGACACCAGAGCUCAUGACAGCGCCGGAUCCUUAACCCACUGAGAGAGGCCAGAGAUCAAACCCGCAUCCUCAUGGAUUCUAGUCAGGUUCUUAAUCUGAAGAACCACACGGGAACUCUGUGACGGUCAUCUCUAAGGUGGGGUUUGGAAGGGGAGGUGGGAAGGGGUGGGGGUGUGGGGAAGCCUUGCAGGAAGAUGGAAGAACUUGGGUAAAUGUCUAAGGCAGAAGGCCCCAGCAGAGCAGGCUGGGAGGCGGUAUGUGGGUUCUCAAGUCCAGCUGUGGGACAGCAGAUUUCACCCAGUUCCCAGGAAGAUAGGUGCCCACACAGUGCCUUUCCCAGACUCACACAGAGGGGCCUUGUGGGCUGGCGUGUCCCAAAGUCUGGUGCAUUCAGAGAAUUGAAUGCCCAAUGAAUGGUGAGGAGCUUAAACCUCUUUGCCAGUUUUCAGCUGCUCCAUGUAGAUUUCAGCUGUCCUCAUUUGUACCUAUUGACCUACAGGUACCGGUCUCUCCAUUACUGAGAGUUAAAACCACUCUCUGUCCAGGUCCAUUGACCUUGCCCCUUAGGGAGAUAUGGCUUAUCCCCCUGCAUAAAAGCUCAUGUCCUCUGGAUCCAACCAAGUCCCUCAUUUGCAGGCAUCCCAUCAGAAUCGCCCAAGAACUUGAUGGGAUGCUGUCAUUACUCUGUGCCCAGCGCAUAGCACAUAGUAGGUGUGCAACUAAAUGCAUGGUUGUAUGAAUGAAUCUGUUUCCAAAAACAUGGGGACUUCCCUAUGGGAACACUUCUCGCCCAGCCUGAAUCGGGGUCUAUGGUAACACGCAUUUAGCGCCCACUUCUCUGCACACCAUCUGUAACCCGCAAAAGUGGUGUACACUCUUCAUCUCUGCCGUCCCACCUCUCCGGAGCUACUUCAGCCCCUCCAAAGGCCACCAAGGACAAAAUAAAGCAGAAAACAAUGCCCGGAGGACCACGCUCCAGAUGCUGCAGAAACAACUUUUCACACUCUCAGUCCUAGCUUAUUAUUUUAUACAUAGUGAUAACUAGCUUUUUUUUCUCUUUUGUCCUUUUAGGGCCGCAUCUGCAACAUAUGGAGGUUCCCAGGCUAGGGGUCUAAUCAGAGCUAUUGCUGCCAGCCUACGCCAGAGCCACCGCAAUGCCAGAUCCGAGCCUCGUCUGUGACCUACACCACAGCUCACAGCAACGCCGGAUCCUUAACCCACUGAGCGAGGCCAGGGAUCAAACCCGCAACCUCCUGGUUCCUUGUCGGAUUCGUUCCUUGUCGGGAACUCCUAGUUUUGAUUCUCUGUUGGCUUAACCUCCUGCAGAAUAGAAACUGUACGAAGAAAGCCUGGCUCCUUGGGUUAGGAUGUGGGAAGAAGGCGACGAGGAGGCUAGCAUGGAUGAUGCUGACAAAAGAUAACGGAUUGCUCAUCUACCAUCAUUACCAUUGGGGCUUGAGAGGGGCUUACCAGCUUCCAAGCAGGAUUCGCUCAGCCACAGCCGCUGCUGUUGGGGCUUCUCU
rnacentral:lncRNA from 1 species